AAACCAACAGGGAUUGCCUUAGUAACGGCGAGUGAAGCGGCAACAGCUCAAAUUUGAAAUCUGGCCUUCGGGUCCGAGUUGUAAUUUGUAGAGGAUGCUUUUGGCGCGGUGCCUUCCGAGUUCCCUGGAACGGGACCCUUAGAGGGUGAGAGCCCCGUACGGUUGGACACCAAGCCUCUGUAAAGCUCCUUCGACGAGUCGAGUAGUUUGGGAAUGCUGCUCUAAAUGGGAGGUAAAUUUCUUCUAAAGCUAAAUAUUGGCCAGAGACCGAUAGCGCACAAGUAGAGUGAUCGAAAGAUGAAAAGCACUUUGAAAAGAGGGUUAAAUAGCACGUGAAAUUGUUGAAAGGGAAGCGUUUGCGACCAGACUUUUUCCUAGCGGAUCAUCCGGUGUUCUCACCGGUGCACUUCGCUAGGUGAAGGCCAGCAUCGGUUUCUGUAGGGGGAUAAAAGCUUGGGGAAUGUAGCUCCCUCGGGAGUGUUAUAGCCCUUUGCAUAAUACCCUUACGGGGACCGAGGACCGCGCUUUUGCAAGGAUGCUGGCGUAAUGGUUGUCAACGAC
rnacentral:rRNA from 1 species